AGGACUUCUGGGAAAUUCUCCUGAGAAGCAGGAUCUUGAGGCUGGAGACACAGAAGGGAGUAAAAAGAGGUGCUGUUUCUAGGAGCCAUUCAUUACACCUGUGGAGAUUUCAUUCACACACAGAAAUCCCAAUAUUGAGGGUUCCUGUUUAAAGCAUUGCUGGUUUCUGUCAAGAAACCUAAUUUCUUUAAAGACUUUCAUUUCCAUGAACUAUUGAGAUACUGGACUCAAAUUGGUCUGAAUCUCUUCAUUUUGGGAAGAACAGGGUCAAUGUUCAAUAGACUGAAGGAAAGAAUGUCUGUCAGGGACUGAAAAACAUGAGUAGAGACUAUCAACCUCAUUAAUAGAACCACAUCUCAGAACCUAAUGUGAGAGCAGCAAUGAAAUAAAAACAGACU
rnacentral:lncRNA from 1 species